rnacentral:rRNA from 1 species
AUUGAACGCUGGCGGCAGGCCUAACACAUGCAAGUCGAGCGAGUGGCGGACGGGUGAGUAAUGUAUGGGGAUCUGCCUGAUAGAGGGGGAUAACUACUGGAAACGGUGGCUAAUACCGCAUACUAUCGGAUGAACCCAGAUGGGAUUAGCUAGUAGGUGGGGUAACGGCUCACCUAGGCGACGAUCUCUAGCUGGUCUGAGAGGAUGCACAGCCACACUGGAACUGAGACACGGCCCAGACUCCUACGGGAGGCAGCAGUGGGGAAUAUUGAACAAUGGGAGCAAGCCUGAUGCAGCCAUGCCGCGUGUAUGAAGAAGGCCUUAGGGUUGUAAAGUACUUUCAGCGGGGAGGCGUUACCCGCAGAAGAAGCACCGGCUAACUCCGUGCCAGCAGCCGCGGUAAUUC